UACAUAGGGUGCAAGCGUUAAUCGGAAUUACUGGGCGUAAAGCGUGCGCAGGCGGUGAUGUAAGACAGGUGUGAAAUCCCCGGGCUUAACCUGGGAACUGCAUUUGUGACUGCAUCGCUGGAGUGCGGCAGAGGGGGAUGGAAUUCCGCGUGUAGCAGUGAAAUGCGUAGAUAUGCGGAGGAACACCGAUGGCGAAGGCAAUCCCCUGGGCCUGCACUGACGCUCAUGCACGAAAGCGUGGGGAGCGAACGGG
rnacentral:rRNA from 1 species